rnacentral:piRNA from 1 species
UAGAGACUGCAAAAAGGCCAGGAGCUGC